UGUAGCAGAAUUAGCAUCUAGCAGCCUGACUGCUUCAUGUCUUAGAAGCUAAGCAAGUUUGGGCUUGGUUAGUACUAGGAUGGGAAGUCUCUAAGGAAAACCAGUGUGCUGCUGCUA
rnacentral:rRNA from 1 species